AACCGUGUGCUUACAAGUAGUCAGAGCCCGUUAAUGGGUGAUGGCGUGCCUUUUGUAGAAUGAACCGGCGAGUUACGAUUUGAUGCAAGGUUAAGCAGUAAAUGUGGAGCCGUAGCGAAAGCGAGUCUGAAUAGGGCGUUUAGUAUUUGGUCGUAGACCCGAAACCAGGUGAUCUACCCUUGGUCAGGUUGAAGUUCAGGUAACACUGAAUGGAGGAC
rnacentral:rRNA from 1 species